UAUGCCUUGCAUUCGUGUACAUUGUUAAGAUUACGACUACUAUCGAUUUGCGAUUGAAUUUUAAUUCCAUUCUGUGGCUUUAUUAAUCAGAGUAUGUUGUUUUAACGUCACACACACACUACCACAAAAGGGCAUUAUGUCCAUUGUUGGGCAAAUAUAUAGACAAUGGGCAAAUGCCCUUGUUCAAGGUAUCAACCUUAUCUGCAGCAUAAUAAUAAGCAGCAACCCACUCCAAUUCGUUCUGCGUUUAUUAUUUAUUUAUUUAAAAAUUUCCGCCUAGUCUCCGCUACGCUAUACGCUCUAUUCAGGGCUCUCUUUGUGGUCCAACCUUUUUAGCCACUUUCGUUUUAAUGUAAUCAAAUGAACGUGCCUCGCAUUAUUCUGCUGCCAAUAAAUUUCACGAGGCAAAUAGAUGAGGAUUGGAUACCGGUCCCCCAUGCUUGUUGGAUACUACUUUUCGGGGGUCUUUUCCACCCACGGGAUUUCAGCGUCCUGCAUUGCGAAAUGGUAGUGAGAAUAAUAGUAAUACAUACUGGAUUCCAACGAUAAAGUAAUUUUUUUAAUUUUGAUUAAAUGACAUUGAAAAAAUACGACCUCAUUUUUAUAGAUUAAAAAGCAAUUAUUUCAAUGUAUUCAAUAAAGCCACU
ensembl:ncRNA lncRNA:CR44345 long non-coding RNA:CR44345